rnacentral:rRNA from 1 species
AAUCAACGCUGGCGGCGUGCCUAACACAUGCAAGUCGAACGGGAAGGGUGGCUUCGGCUACCCGGAGAGUGGCGUACGGGUGAGUAACACGUGGGUAAUCUGCCUUUGGGUGGGGAAUAACGAUCCGAAAGGGUCGCUAAUACCGCAUAACGCAGCGGCACCGCAUGGUGACAGUUGUUAAAGGGGGGGAUCGAAAGACCUCUCGCCUGAAGAGGAGCCCGCGCCCGAUUAGCUAGUUGGUGAGGUAACGGCUCACCAAGGCGACGAUCGGUAGCCGGCCUGAGAGGGCGGUCGGCCACACUGGCACUGAGACACGGGCCAGUCUCCUACGGGAGGCAGCAGAGGGGAAUUUUGGGCAAUGGGCGCAAGCCUGACCCAGCAACGCCGCGUGAAGGACGAAAUCCCUCUGGGAUGUGAACUUCGAAAGUCAGGAAAGAAAUCCUUGGGGGGAAUAUCUCCAAGGGAUGACGGUACCUGACGUAAGCCCCGGCUAACUACGUGCCAGCAGCCGCGGUAAUACGUAGGGGGCAAGCGUUGUUCGGAAUUACUGGGCGUAAAGGGCGCGUAGGCGGCAUGGCAAGUCAGGAGUGAAAGGCCUGGGCUCAACCGAGGAACUGCUUUUGAUACUGCCAAGCUAGAGUGCGGAAGGGGCAACUGGAAUUCCCAGUGUAGCGGUGAAAUGCGUAGAUAUUGGGAAGAACACCUGAGGCGAAGGCGGGUUGCUGGGCCGACACUGACGCUGAGGCGCGAAAGCCAGGGGAGCAAACGGGAUUAGAUACCCCGGUAGUCCUGGCCCUAAACGAUGGAUACUUGGUGUAUGGGGUUCUUCGAGUCCCCGUGUGCCGGAGCUAACGCGUUAAGUAUCCCGCCUGGGGAGUACGGUCGCAAGGCUG